rnacentral:rRNA from 1 species
GAUGAACGCUGACAGCAUGCUUAACACAUCAGCAACUGAUUGUUGGCGGACGGGGGAGUAACGGGUAUAGAACUUACCUCACAGUUAGGGGCAACAUUUGGAAACGAAUGCUAAUACCUAAUCCUGUGAGAGAGCUUUGCGUCCCGGUAGCUAGUGGGAGAGGUAACGGCGCACCAAGGCGAUGAUGGGUAGCCGGCCUGAGAGGGUGAUCGGCCAUAAGGGGACUGGGGAACCGCCCUUACUCCUACGGGAGGCAGGAGCGGGGGAUAUUGGACAAUAGGCCGAAGUAUGAUACAGCAAUUCGGUGUGUAAGGUAAAGUUUUCGGGAUGUAAAGUUCUUUCAGUUGGGAAACGGUACCCACAGAAGAAGUGACGGCUAACUACGUGCCAGCAGCCGCGGUAAUUC